UACGUCUGUAGUUUAUGAGGAUGAGAACCUCCGAAGGAGGUUUGAGCCGAGCGCAGCGAGACAACGUUGCUUCAGCAACGGCCCGCAGGGGAAUAAUCCUCUCUCGCCGACCA
rnacentral:sRNA from 1 species